GUUUUAAUUUGCAUUUCUUUAAAAUCUAGUAAAGUUAAGCUUCAUCUGCUUAUUAUUCUUUAGGUCCCCCUUUUGUUAAUUGCCUAUGUUGUUAUUGACCAUUUUUCCUUUGGUUUCACUUUUCUGGCAGAUUUUCAGAAGUUCCUUACAUAUUCUGAACAUUACUUUCUUUUAACCUUAGAGCUAGUGUGAAUAUCUUCUAUCUGUCCUCCAUCUCUAACUGUGUCCCUGGUAUCUGUUGUUGAAAAUGUCUUUACUUUUAAUGUAGUCAAAUUUAGCAUCCACCUCCCCUGUGGCUUGUGGUUUGGGGUUCUUGUUUAAGUAAUGAAGUCACAAAAAUAUGGUUCUAUAUAUUUUCUUCUACUAGCCUCAUACUUUCUCUCUCUCUCUCUCUCUCUCUUUAGUUCUUUCUUCCUCUAUCCCUCCUUUCUUCCUUCCCCCUUAUUUCUUCUUCACAGAUAAAGUGAAAUACUUCUGUGGAAAUAAUCUUUAUCUUAUCAAGUUUUACCCUAAAGAAUAGUUUAAAUCCUGAUUAUCCUGAAAUGUAGACUAAAUUUUUGUAUUUUUGGUAAAGACAGGGUUUUGCCAUGUUGGCCAGGCUGGUCUCGAACUCCUGGCCUCAAGGGAUCUGCCCGUUUUGGACUCUUACAGUGCUGGGAUUACAAGCAAGAGCCACUGUGCCCAGCCUAACUUUCUUUUUCUUUUUUUCUUUUUUUGACAGUCUUGCUCUGUUGCCCAGGCUGGAGUGCAGUGGCAUGAUCUCGGCUCACUGCAAGCUCCACCUCCCAGGUUCAUGGCAUUCUCCUGCCUCAGCCUCCCAAGUAGCUGGGACUACAGGCGCCCGCCACCAUGCCUGGCUAAUUUUUUUGUAUUUUUAGGAGAGACAGGGUUUCAUUGUGUUAACCAGGACAGUCUCGAUCUCCUGACCUUGUGAUCCGCCUGCCUCGGCCUCCCCAAGUGCUGAGAUUACAGGCGUGAGCCACCGUGCCCGGCCCCAGCCUAACUUUCUUACAUUUUAUUUUUAUUUACCAGUGUUCAAAAUAAUGGGGUUGUCCACUAGCAUUCUCCAAAGGUGACUAAUAGUUCUUCUUGUUUGUUCAUUUUUUUAGGAUAAUUAUAAAAUUUUAAAUUUAAAGUAUUUCAUUUUUUUCAAACCAUUGUGGUUAUUAAUAUUACUGAUGCUCCGUUUACCUAUGUAACAAACUUGUACAUCCUCUACAGGUUCCCUGGAGCUUAAAAUAAAAGUUGAAGAAAAAAAUGCUGAUGCUCAAAUUGUCCCCUCUUUAGCUACUGGGAGCCUUUUCAGGUCAGCUUCUGAAUUCUUUUCACACAAUUUUCAUAGUCUUUGAUAGCGUUCUUUGCUCUCUAGUAGGUCAAACUAUUUCAGGCUCCUACUAUUCAUUUUCUGUGCCAGUCCUGCAAUCAACCAUCACUAUAAGGAGUCCUGAUUCCUUUUAGUGGGAAAUGAUAUUUAGAAGCCACAAUCUGGAUGCUAGGGGUCUAGGUUAGUGAUUGCUUUUAGGACUUUUCAGAGUCAACGUGUAGAAAAUAUGUUUUUGUUUUAUUAUUAUUCUUUUGCUUGGUUUUUGUUUUGUUUUCUAUUAUUUUUAAAAUUGUGGUGUAAUAUAUAUAACAUAAAAUUAAUCAUUUAAACAAUUUUUAGGGAUGGGCAUGGUGGCUCACACCUGUAGUCCCAGCACUUUGGGAGGCCAAGGAGGGCAGGUUGUUUGAGCCUGGGAACUCAAGACCAGCCUGGGCAACAUGGCGAAACCCUAUCUCUACUAAAAAUACAAAAAAUUAGCUGGGUGUGGUUGUGCAUGCCUGUAGUCCCAGUUACUUGGGAGGCUUAGGUGGGAGGAUCGCUUGAGCCCAGGAGGCAGAGGUUGCAGUAACCUGAGAUCAUGCCACUGUGCUCCAGCCUGGGCAACAGAGUGAGAUCUUGUCUUAAAAUUUUUUUUAAGUGUACAGUUCAUUGGCAUUAAGUACAUUCACAGUGCUUUGCAAUCAUCACCACUAUCCAUUUCCAGAAAUUUUUCAUCUCAAACAGAAACUCUGUAUCCAUUAAACAAUAACUCCCAGUUCUUUCCUUCUCCCAGCCCCUGGUGACCUGUAUUAUCUUUGUAAAGAAUGCCUAUUUGAGCCAUUUCACCAUUUAGAAUUGGGUUUUUGAGGGGGAUGGGAAUUGUUGAGUUGGAGUUCUUUAUUUACUUUGGAUAUUAAUUACUUAUCAGAUAUGUUAUUUGCAAAUAUUUUCUCUCAUUCCAUUGUUUGCCAUUAUUGAGUGUCUGUAUUAGUCUGUUUUCAUGCUGCCGAUAAACACAUACCCCAAACUGGGGAAUUUAUAAAGGAAACUUUAAUUGACUCACAGUUCUACAUGGCUGGGGAGCCCUCACAACCAUGGCAGAAGAGCAAAGGUUGUCUUACGUGGUGGCAGGCAAGAAGAGAGCUUGUGCAGGGGAAUUCCUCUAUAUAAAACCACCAGAUCACAUGAGACCUUUAUUCACUAUUAUGAGAACGGCAUCGGAAAGACCCACCCCUGUGAUUCAAUUACUUCCCACUAGAUUCCUCCCAUAAUAUGUGGGAAUUGUGGGAGCUACAAUUCAAGAUGAGAUUUGGGUUGGGGACACAGCCAAACCAUAUCAGGGUCUUUGAUGCGCAAACAGUUUUAAAAUUUUGAUGAAGUCCAACUUAUUUAUUAUUCUCUUUGUUGUCUGUGCUUUUGGUGUCAUAUCCAAGAAAUCCUUACCAAAUCCAACAUCAUAAAACGUUCUCCCUGGGUUUUCUUCCAAGCAUUUUAUAAUUUUAACCCUUUUGUGUUUAGGUCUUUAAUCCAUUUUUAGUUAAUUUUUGUAGAUGGUAGAAGGUAAGAUUUCAACUUUAUUCUUUUGCAUAUGGAUAUUUAGUUUUCCCAGAACCAUUUGUUGAAAUUGUUAUCCUUUCCCUAUUAAAUGGUCUUGGCACACUUGUCAAAAAUUAAUUGACCACACAUGCAAAGGUUUAUUUCUGAGUUCUCUGUUCUGUUCCAUUUGUCUAUACAUCUUUCCUUAGUCUAGUUCCACAAUGGUUUAAUUGCUAUAGAUUUGUAGUAAAAUUUGAAAUCAGGAAAUGUGAGUUUUCUGUAUUUUAUCCUUCUUUUAAAAAAUCAUUUUGGCUAUUUUUUGGAAGUACCAUAUGACUUUUAGGAUGAGUUUUUCUGUUUCUGCAAAAAAAAAAAAAAAAAAAAAAAAGCCAGUGGAAUUUUGAUAGGGAUUGCAGUGAGUCUUUAGAUACCUUUGGAUUGUAUUGUCAUAUUAAGAACAUUGUCUUCUAAUGAAUGAACAUGAGAUGUCUUUCCAUUUAUUUAUGUCUUCUUUAAUUGCUUUCAGAAAUGUUUUAUAGUUUUCAGUGUCCAAGUCUUUUGCCUCAUUGUUAGAAUUAUUCCUAAGUAUUUUAUUUUAUUCUGUUUGAUGUUAUAGUAAAUGGAAUUUUUAAAAAUUCCUUUUUAGAUUGUUCAUUGUUGAUGUAUAGAAAUGCAACUGAUUUUUUUUGCAUUGAUUUUUCAUCCUGCAAUGUUGCUGAAUUUAUUAGCUCACUUUUUUGUGUAUGGAAUCUUUAAAAUUUUCUAUGUGCAAGAUUAUGUCAUUUGCAAACAGAUAUAAUUUUACUUCCCCUUUUCAAUUUAGACUCCUUUUAUUUCAUUUUCUUGCCUAAUUUCUCUGCUUAAAAGUUUUAAUACAAUAUUGCAUAGAAGUAGUGAAAGUGGACAUCCUUGUCUUGAUUUUGAUCUUCAGGAAAAAACUUUCAGUCUUUCACUAUUGAAUAUAAUGUUUGCUGUGGAUUUUUCAUAUAUAGCCUAAAUCGUGUUGAAGAUGUUUCCUUCUAUUCCUAGUUACUGAUUUAAAAAAACAAAAAACAAAAAACAAGAAAGGGUGUUUCAUUUUGUCAACUGCUUUUUCUGCAUAAAUUGAGAUGGUUAUUAUUAUUUUUUCUUUUUUUAAUUGUGGUGUAUUACAUUGAUUUUCAUACAUUGAACCCUCCUUGCAAAACAGGAAUAAAUCCCACUUGGUCAUGGUACAUAAUCUUUUUAAUAUACUGCCAAAUUUGGUUAGUAUUUUGUUGAGACUUUUAUCUCAGUAUUCAUAAGAGAUAUUGGCCUGUCGUUUUCUAUUUUCUAAGUGUCUGUCUGGUUUUGGUACCAGGAUAAUGUUGGUAUAGAAUGAGUUGGAAACUGUUACUUCUCCUUGAAUUAUUUUUAGAAGAGUUUGGGAAGAAUUGGUAUUAAUUCUUCUUUAAAUGUUUCAUAGAAUUCACCAGUGAAUCCAUCUGAUCCAGGACUUUUCUUUAUUGGGAGGCUUUUGAUUACUGAUUCAACUUCCUUACUGGUUAUAUAAGGUCUAUCAAAUUUUCCAUGUCUUUAUGAUCUAAUUUUGGUAAGUUGUGUGUUUCUAGAAAAUCAUCUAUUUCAUCUAGGUUAUCCAAUAUGUUGGCAUACAAUUAUUCAUAAUAUUCUCUUAUAAUCCUUUUUGUUUCUAUAAAACCUGUAAUAAUGUCCCCACAUUUAUUUAUGAUCUUAGUAAUUUGAAUCUUCAACCUUUUUUCCUUAGUCAAUCCAGCUGAUUUGUCAGUUUUGUUGAUCUUUUGAAACAAGUACUUUUGGUUUUAUUGAUUUUUCUUUUUUGUCGCUCCAUUCUCCAUUUCAUUUAUCUGUGCUCUAAUCUUUAUUAUUUCCUUCUUUCUGCUAGCUAUGAGUUUAGUUUGCCUUUCUUUUUCUAGAUCCUUAAGGUGUAAAGUUGAGUUAUUGAUUCGAGAUCUUUUUAAAAAAUAUUUAUGUUUAGAGCUAUAACUCUUACUGUUAGCACUGCUUUCACUGAAUCCCAUUAGUUUUGAUGUGCUGUUUUUUUGUUUGUUUUCAUUUGUCUCAAGAUUUUAUAAUUUCCUUUGUGAUUUAUUCUUUGAUUUAUUAGUUUUUUAAGGGCGAUUUAUUUAAUUUCCACAUAUUUGUGAAUUUCCCAGUUUUCGUUCUGUUACUGAUUUUUCGCUCAUUCCAUUAGGAUCAGAAACGAUAUUUUGUAUGAUUUCAACUUCUUAAAUUUAUUAAGACUUGUUUGUGGCCUAACAUAUGAUCUGUCCUGGAGAAUGUUCCAUAUGCACCUGAGAAAAAUGUGUAUUCAGCUGUAGUUGGGUGCAGUGUUCUGGAUAUAUCUUUUAGGUGUAAUUUGUUUAUGGCAUUGUUCAAGUUCUCUAUUUCUUUAUUUCUCUUCUGUCUUGUGUUCUAUCUGUUAUUGAAAGUGGCAUAUUGAAGUUUAUUUCAACUAUUAUUGGAGAACUAUUUAUUUGAUUCUGUCAGUGUUUGCUUCAUAUAUUUUGGGGCUCUGAUUUUGGUGCAUAUAGGUUUAUAAUUGUUAUAUUUUCUUGGUGAGUUUACCCCUUUAUGAAUAAACAAUGUUUGUCUUUGUUUCUUGUAACAGUUUCUGACUAAAGGUUUAUUUUGUCUAAUGUUAGUAUAACUACCCCAGCUCUCUUUUGGUUACUAUUUGCAUGAAGCAUCUUUUCCCAUCUUUUCACUUUCAACCUAGUUGUGUCUUUAGAUUUAAAGUGAAUUUCUAUAUUUUCUAUUUGUUGUGACAACAUCUUCAUACUUUCCUUUAGCUUUUAAGAUAUGGCUUCCUUUGUUCUUUGGACAGCCCUAAAAUAGCUGAUUUAGUCUUGUUUAGUAAGUUCUGCUUUUGAGCUUCUUCAUUGAUGGUUUCUAUUGGCUGCUUUUUUCCCCCAUGAACAGGCCGUACUUUCUUAUUUCUUUGCGUGUCUCAUAAUUUUUUGUUGAAAACAAGACUUUUAAAAUAACAUAACAUUGCAACUCUGGAAAUCAGAUCCUUCUCUUCCUAGGGUUUGUUGUUGGUGCCAUUUGUCUUUGUUGUUUUUUCUUUUUGUUAUUUUUGUUUGUUUGUUUAGUAACUUUCUUGAACUAAUUUUCUAAAGUCUUUAUCCUUGUCAUAUGACCACUGAAAUCUCUGCUCAGAUAGCCUAGUGGUCAUUAAUGAUUGGACAGAGAUUUUCUGAAAUGCCUGUAACUAAUAAGCCUCUCAGCCUUUACUGAGGGGCUAUGUGUGUGUAUGUGUAUGAGUUGGGAUAUGUUUUCACUAUUGAGGGGCUCAGUUUACAACUCUGCUUUAGCUCCCACUUUCUACUUGCUUAGAGCCUAAAGGUCUGUCAGAGUGGGGAGCUUAGGACUUUCUCAGGUCUGUCCUGAGCAUGUGCACAUUCCUAUGCGGGUGAAACCUUCUAGAUUUCUAGAAAUAUUUUAGAGCUUUUCAAAGCCCCCAUGGACUAUCUCAUUCACCAGCUUUUCCUUUUAACUAACUUGAUCAGCUUCUUAGUUUUCCCAACUGCAAUCACUGCUUCAAGCAGUUGUGAUGUUAGAUAAUUGUCUGUAGUUGCUUUUGACAAAUGUCCCCGAGGAAAAAGCUGUUUUGCAUUGUGCGAGAUCUGAGUCGGGUCAAAUAAAUACCAGCCAGGGAACUGCCAGACAGGUCAAAUAUUGGCAAAUCUCAGAAUGGUACUUUAGCCAGCUCCUAACACAUUCUCUCCCUUCCAGUGGUUCCUGAGCUGCUGGUUUUCACUGUGAUUAUGGGGCUGCUAAUUUUCACUGUGAUUGUGGGGUUGCUGAUUUUCACUGUGAUUGUGGGGCUGUUGGUUUUCAAGGCUACUGUGGAGCUAGGGGCGGGGAUGGUAAGAGGGCAAGUUAAAACGCUAGAAAGCAUGUUGUUCUUACUAAGAUUCUGUCAUUUUUCUUUAUUAAAUGCUCUUUGGAGCCUUGUAAGCUUUUGGUUAAUUUGAAAAAACUGGGAAAAGUUGAUUUUGACAAUUUUUUUGCCUGUAUUCUUGUUGCUUUUAUUGCCAAGUGGCUUUUUGGAGGUUCUCAGUCUGCCGCACUGACAUCACUUGUCAAGAUUGUUUUCUUCUUUGUUCCCUCUUUUAUAGGAUGCACAGAAUUUUCUUUGGCUGACUUGAAAGUUGUACAUUUAAUUUUACUCUUCUGUUUCUCCAGACUUACUAAGAGCCAUACUUAUGCUUAUUUUUCCUGACCAAUCUAUAAUCUUAUCGAAUCUGUGUUUGCCUCCAGGCAAGACAAGACCCUUAACACACUACUCUCACUUCUCUGGUCUCUCUGUCUUUUCAUUUUGGCAUCAUCUACAAUUUUAGUUCUAGAAAAUCUUAUUUAACUAAUAAUAACCUUUCUCUGCCUAUUUUACUGGGAUUGAAUUAAAUGUAUACAUUAUCUUGAGCAGAAUUGGUAUCUUUAGGAUGCUGUAUCAUUCUAUUCGAGAAUAAGAUAAUACUGCAGUGUAACAAAUCUCCCCCAAAUUCAGUGUGUCUUAAAAUAACAAUAAUUUAUUCUCAUGCAUGCAUCUGUGUGAGGCAGCUGGGGCUUAGUUAAUCUAGGUUAAUUUCAGCUGAACUUGGCUACAGUCUAUGAGUUUUCUUUAGACCUGCUUCAUGUAUUUCUCGUCCUCCUUGAACCAGAGGCACAGAACUUUCCUAAAGCUCCCUUGGAGUUGUUACAGAGUGGUCAGGCUAAACUCUUCUUUUUUCCUCUGCUUCUGUGGGCCUUGGCUUUUUCAAUCCAAGUCAAUACACAAAUAUCACAUGAUGGCUAUGCACCAGGCCUAAAGUUUGGGCCUGCAAAAGCAGAGAUAAGUAAAACAGAUAGCAUUCCAUCAGUAAAAAUACUCUCUGAGACACUGAUAGUAGGAUUUUAAAUGGAUUCAAUAUCCUAGAUUUAUACUUUGUAGGUAACAGUUCUACUUUUAGGAAUCUACAGAAUAUUUGCACAAGCAGUUAAGGAUGUAAGUUAGUAAUCUUCAUUACAGCAAUUUUUAUAAUAAUUAAAUAUUAGAAAUCGCCUCAAUAGAAGACUAGUUAUAUAAGCUGUAAUAAUCAUAUUAUUUUAUGUUAUAUAGCUAUUAAAUAAUGUGAAUCUGCAUUUCUGAUGUAGAAGAACACCUAUGAUAUGUUGUUAAAUAAAAAAAAGCAAGUAAGUGGAAAGAGUAUAAACUCAUUACUUAUUUUUGUAGCUCUAAAAAUCACUAUUUCUUAGCUCUGACCACUGUUAAGUUCUGGAAUCAAUGACCACCAAGUAGUAAUGAGCACCCUAGCACCAAUGCUGUGGCAUUUAAAUAUUAUUUUUCAUUAAUAGGGUAAGUGCCCUUUAAAAUAAUGGCUGAUUUCAAAUACAGGGCAGGACAUGAAUAAAAUGGGUCUACUACACCUUACAUACUAAAAAGCAAGAAAAUGGUUAAAAACGUUGUGGUUAUGUCUAAAGAACUCAGGGCCAACCUACCAGGCUCCCAAUAGCUAAAGAUGGGAAAAAUUUAAGUUUCAGUGAGAAUAAAACUGUAAUGGACUCGUCAAAAAUAUAAAAAUCCUGAGAUUCACAAUGAUACCACAAAAAAGAAAUUAACUCAUUAACCAACUUCAGAGAUUGCUAGAACACCAAGUUGUUUUUCUAGAAAUCAGUAAUAAAGAGAACAUUUAUUCUGUCUUUUCUGUACACACUGUGUUUCUAAGUCAUCAAACAGUUGACGAAGGAAAGUCUUUACAAAAGAGUUUUAGCUAAGAAAUACAGAAGGAAUAAUUGAAUUAGAAAAGAACCCUUAUGCAACUCCUAAAAAGUUGAUCACUGAUGGAUGCUAAAGUGAGUAGAUGUCAAGAAAAAUUUAUAGUGGAUAUAUCAACUGACAAGAUUGAAAUCCAGGGAUCAUCCAGUCAUGCUUGCCUCUUGGUAUGAUAAAAUAGGAAGUAUUCAGCCUUACCUAUCAAAUAUUGCACACAAAAUAAUUGAAUCUGAAUCUAAUCAAGAAUCUAGUUCUAUUGAGAUUACAGGAAAUUGUCAGACUAGAGAACGUGUGGAAUGAUAUUCUGAGUAUGUAAUCAGCCAAAUCCAUACUGUGGGAAAUUCUACAGAAUUAAAACCUCAUUUCUUUAGUAAAUCAAUUUUCUAAAAGAAGGAAGGGAAAUGUAACUAUUGUAACCAUUAUAGAUGGAAAGAGUCUUAAGAGACAUAUCAAUCAUAUGGACUUUGGAUAUUAAUUCAAACAAACCUAAGGUAAGAGAAAAAACCCCACACAUUUUAGGACAAAGAAAAGAAAGAACAGAAUAUUAUAAAAGAUUAUUAUUUUUAAAUAUGAUAAUGGUAAAAUCUUCUUAUUUUUAAAAUAUUUUACCUGUUAGAAAUACAUAGUAAAGUACUAUGGUGAAAUAAUAUGAUGGCUGAGAUUUACCUGAGAUGUUUCAGGAAAAAAUUGGAGGUAGUGGAGAAAGGAUAAAUAUUAAUAAAACAAAAUGGGAAAACUGUUGCUAUUUGUUGAAGCUUGUUGAUGGGUACAUGGGAUUCAUUAUGCUCUUCUCUGCAUUUGUUUAUUGGUUUGAUGAUUUCUAUAAUAAAAAGUGAAAAAAGUAAAAGAGAAAAAGAAAACGAAAGUCAAGUUGUGGAACAAUGUGUAUAGUAUGCUUUAAUUUUUUUCUUUUUAAAGAACAGAGUAGAACAAAGCACUGUUAUACUAUUAUCUGUGGUUAUCUUUGGGAAAUGGGACUGGGGAAUGAUGUAGGAAGCUUCUGUUUUUUAUUUUAUAAACUUUGAUUUCAUUUGAAUUUUUAAAUAAGUACAUAUAACUUAAGUAACUAAAAAAAAAGAGAAAGAAUAAAUAAGAUGUCAUAAGUAAGGUAUGAACAAAGUACUAUGGAAGCUUGUUUCCUGUGCCCUGGCUGAACAUAGCUGCUGAAAGGAGGACCUGAGGUUGUGAGGGUGCAUGGAACACUUGAAGUCAGUGGAGCAGCCUUACACGGACCCCACACCAACUCACCUGCCGUGCUGUGAGGAGGCCUCAGCGACAUGACCCAUGCUGUCUGGGAAAGGCAGUGAUCGCAGUUCAUUGUGUGACAGCUAAGCAGGCUUUACAGUAGAGUGAGUCCAUGAUUAGCUGCCUAAGGGAAUGUAUUAGAUCUGCUCACUGUGUGUUAAAAUACAAAUUUGUAUCAUUCUGAACAAA
rnacentral:lncRNA from 1 species